GGCUGACACCUCGGAGCGCCGGGCUGCGGGGACGGAGCUGGAGCUGCUCGCCUGGAGCGAAAGAGGGGGAAGGACCGCUUGCCUGUGCGGAGAAGCGGGCGCUGAGCGCCCGUCCCGGCGGCCCGGAGCCACCCGGGGAAGGUGUCCUGUGACGGCCCUUGAUCAGCAAGCCUGCAAGUCAUGUAGAAGCCGCAGUAACUGCAGAGUCUCUGAUGGAUAAUUGGAUUGGUAUUUCUGUAGGAAGCCAGUUGAAAAGUAUGGAUUGAAAGCACAGACCAUUCAGAAAAUAUAGUACACAAGUGCCCAGCUGACCUUGAGAAAAUAUUUAAAGAGCAUGAAUCGAGCAAAAAUUACGGGAGCUCAAAAGACGAGAUGCCUAUACUGAGGGAGUAAUAUGUGGGAGGCUGUGGACUAUUUGCUUCCAACAUAGGAACAGCACUGGGUUGGGAAUCUGCACUCCUGAGAGAAUGCUGGGAAUCUGCAGAGGGCGACGGAAAUUCCUGGCUGCCUCUCUGACCGUCCUUUUUGUCCCUGCCAUUACGUGGAUUUACCUGUUUGCUGGGAGUUUUGAAGAUGGGAAGCCAGUGUCGCUGUCUCCACUUGAAUCCCAGCCCCACAGUCCUCGGUACACGGCGUCGAGCCAGCGGGAGCGCGAGAGCUUGGAAGUCCGCAUGCGGGAGGUGGAGGAGGAGAACCGCGUGCUUCGCAAGCAGCUCAGCCUGGCACAGAGUCGCAGCCCCUCGCACCACCGCGGCAAUCACUCUAAAACCUACUCCAUGGAAGAGGGGACAGGUGACAGCGAGAGCCUGCGGGCUGGCAUUGUGGCGGGGAACAGCUCUGAGUGUGGGCAGCAACCAGCAGUGGAAAAAUGUGAGACCAUCCACGUUGCCAUUGUUUGUGCAGGGUACAAUGCCAGUCGGGAUGUUGUCACGCUUGUCAAGUCUGUCUUAUUUCACAGGCGAAACCCACUCCACUUCCACCUCAUCGCAGAUGCAAUUGCCAAACAGAUCCUGGCAACUCUGUUCCAGACAUGGAUGGUCCCUGCUGUGCGCAUAGACUUCUAUGAUGCAGAUGAGCUCAAGUCGGAAGUGUCUUGGAUCCCCAACAAACACUACUCUGGGAUUUACGGGCUGAUGAAGUUGGUUCUGACUAAGACUCUACCUUCCAAUCUUGAGCGAGUCAUUGUCCUCGACACAGACAUAACAUUUGCCACUGACAUUGCUGAGCUAUGGGCCGUCUUUCACAAGUUCAAAGGGCAGCAGGUUCUUGGCUUGGUGGAGAACCAGAGUGAUUGGUAUUUGGGCAACCUUUGGAAGAAUCAUCGGCCUUGGCCAGCACUUGGGAGGGGCUACAACACAGGGGUUAUCUUGCUGCUUCUUGAUAAGUUACGGAAGAUGAAAUGGGAGCAGAUGUGGAGACUCACAGCAGAGCGGGAGUUAAUGAGCAUGCUAUCCACUUCACUGGCUGACCAGGAUAUCUUCAAUGCAGUCAUCAAACAAAAUCCCUUCCUUGUCUACCAGCUCCCAUGUUUCUGGAAUGUACAGCUGUCUGAUCACACCCGUUCUGAGCAGUGCUACAGAGAUGUGUCUGACCUGAAGGUGAUUCACUGGAACUCACCAAAGAAGCUGCGAGUGAAAAACAAGCAUGUGGAGUUCUUCCGCAACCUCUACCUGACAUUCCUGGAAUAUGAUGGGAAUUUGCUGAGACGGGAACUCUUUGGCUGCCCCAGUGAGGCAGAUGUUAACAGUGAAAAUCUCCAGAAACAGCUAUCUGAGCUGGAUGAGGAUGACUUAUGCUAUGAAUUUCGUCGAGAACGUUUCACUGUCCAUCGCACUCAUUUGUACUUUCUACACUAUGAAUACGAGCCUGCUUCAGACAAUACUGAUGUAACACUGGUGGCUCAACUGUCAAUGGACAGGCUCCAGAUGCUUGAAGCCAUCUGCAAACACUGGGAAGGUCCAAUCAGCCUGGCACUCUAUCUUUCUGAUGCAGAAGCCCAGCAAUUUCUGCGCUAUGCCCAAGGCUCAGAAGUACUUAUGAGCCGCCACAAUGUCGGCUAUCAUAUCGUGUACAAGGAGGGCCAGUUCUAUCCUGUGAAUCUGCUAAGGAAUGUGGCCAUGAAACACAUCAGCACACCGUACAUGUUUCUGUCUGACAUCGACUUCUUGCCCAUGUAUGGACUCUACGAGUACCUCAGGAAGUCUGUCAUCCAGCUAGACCUGGCUAACACCAAGAAAGCUCUGAUUGUACCUGCUUUUGAGACCCUGCGCUACCGCCUCUCCUUCCCCAAGUCAAAAGCAGAGCUGCUCUCUAUGUUGGACAUGGGAACCCUCUUCACUUUCAGGUAUCACGUCUGGACGAAAGGGCAUGCGCCAACAAACUUUGCCAAAUGGCGAACAGCCACCACCCCCUACCGUGUCGAGUGGGAAGCAGACUUUGAGCCAUAUGUUGUUGUGAGGAAGGACUGCCCGGAGUAUGACAGGAGGUUUGUUGGAUUUGGCUGGAACAAAGUAGCUCACAUCAUGGAACUGGAUGCACAGGAGUACGAGUUCACGGUGCUGCCCAAUGCCUAUAUGAUCCACAUGCCGCACGCCCCCAGCUUCGACAUCACCAAGUUUCGCUCCAACAAGCAAUACCGCAUCUGUCUCAAGACCCUGAAGGAAGAGUUCCAGCAGGAUAUGUCACGCCACUAUGGCUUUGCAGCCCUCAAAUAUCUCACGGCAGAGAACAACAGCUAGCACAACGGAGCCCUUGUGAGGGAAACAGGGACGCUGGAGGGAGGAGCCGCUCAGCGUUUGGGGUCUUCAAACUUCGAACUGAGAAAUACUUUCUGGUUUUAUAUCAUACUCGGCAGUUCUAACAGUAGAAAUUUGAAGUGACAUGUCCUCGGACUAUGCUCAUUCGUCCCUUCUCCGACUACCCCAGGCCUUUCAGCUUUAGCAUUCAUGAGGUGUCAGCGAGGGGAGCCGGCCACGCGCCCACCAUGCCGCUGGAGGUGGGGACUGGGCUAGGGCUGGGAAUGCACGCUGCUCUCUUCACUGCAGAGCAAAGACAGACCUUCAGAAUAUAGGAUUUCAUGUUGCUAUUUAAUAAUUUGACAUGCUUUUUAUCUGUAAAGGAAGAUCUUCGGGUCGCUGUCCUGUGAAUUUCAAAUCUGCACUACUCUAAAAGGGAACUCUCACCUGUGAACUUUCACAGGGGCCCUGUUACCAUGGAUGACCUUGUUAAUGCAGGAUGAGCCAAAGGUCUGAAUUAGCCUUGAAAACAAAGGGGACGCUUAUACAAUACUGCACUCCAGAGAAGCCACUGGACCUUCUACUUUCCUCCCCACCUCAUCUCUCUAGAGCUUGGUUUUAUUUCUAACCUGACAUUUCAUGAGAGCUUUCUGUUACGGUGGAAACCACGUGGUUAAACCAGACAUUUAAACUACAAAUAUCAGUUCAUCAUGCUGUGUAUAUAUAAGAAAAGCCAAAAAAGGCAGCAUCUUUGACAAGAAAUAAAAAAGGGGAGGGAGGCUGUGUGUAAUUUUCACUUUUUCCCCUGGGAGUGUUGGCUGCAUAAGAAUACAUCACUGCAUAAUUUUCCAGAGUGCUUUUCUUCUGUUCUUAAUGGCUUUAUGUAAAGAUUUACAUAAAAAGCUGGGAAGAGCUGGCAAGAAGUGAAAUGAGUGCUCAGUCCUGGCUAAGAUAGAUUCUUCUAAAAACCCCAAAAUCUUAACUACCCAAGUCCUGUAUUACUCAUGAUUAAGGGCCCAGGUCACUGUGCAUAUUGAGAAUGAGAACCCUGCAGCACAGGGGCCUGUUGAUUAGCCAAUGUGCAGAAGUUUAUCAAAAGCUGAUCCUAAGAGAGCCUAACACUGGUCGCCCCUACAUAAAAUCUUCAGUCAGAGCUUCAGAGUGACCAUCAUUAUGUUUCAUACGUAUUAAAAACUUUCAUUUCCAGAUGUAUGUUUCUCCUUGGCUUAACAAUGUUGCCCAAGGAUGGACUGGAUUGCCCUGCAGCAGCAUAACCUGUAGCAUGGUCCUGUGUGUUAUUUUGGUGUGCCAUUAUCAACAUGAACAUUAUUCUCUCCUUGGUGGUCAUAAGAUGGUGCAGAUGGGGGAGUGGGGAGGUAAUCAUUUGCUAUUUACCUGUCUGUGUAGCAAGUCAUGGAACGUCCUGGGUAGGCUUAGGUGUGCUGGCUGGUGUAACCAGCUCAAAGAUUGGUAGUAGGUUCAAAGAGCCCCCUAUUUUUACCUUUAUAGACACUGUGCUGACUUGUAUCUGUCAUGUCGUGUUUGUCUAUGUGCUUCAUAAUUAGGGAAAUGUGAGGCUUGGGUUUUUUUAACACAUUUCAGCCAUUUUACAUGAUAGCAAAUUAGAAUUACAUGUCUGUCUGUAACUGCCAGGGCUCCUCCAAUACCAUGAAAAAACCACCACAGACAACAACAGAAGUCCCCAACUCAGUUAUAACUCUGACUGUCUUCCAGUCCUCUGCUGUAGUAGGUAUUUGAUGAUAGCAACUUUGUUACUUAAUUCUCAGUUUCCUCCAGAAAUCUUCAAGAAAUAUCAGAUAAACCUGGUAACUCAAUGCCUUUGAUUUAUUGAUUUGUUCCACCAACUUCUCUCUUGAGCCUUCAUUCUCCUUACCUUUGAUAUUUGGAAAGUGUGAGUUUCUCAUUUAGUUUUCACUCCAGCACCCUCUCUGGUGAAGACUGAUGCAAAUAAAUCAUUUAGAUUCUUGGCAAUGUCCUUAUUGUCUUUAAUUGUUUCUUCUACUUGCUGUUUGGGGUGGCCUACCGGUUAUGUCCAGUUUUCUCCUUUUGGUGUACUGAGCAAAUGUGUGUUUUCAGUUUUAACUUCCUACUGUUUGCUCUUCAGAUUCCCUCUUAGUUUGCUCAAACUCCAUCUUAACUAUUACACACUUUCCUUUCAGGUUUACGAAAUUCUGAUUUCCAUUCUCUAAAGGUUUCCUAUUUGGCCUGAAUAACUUCUAAAAUUUCCGAUCUAGUCAUACCAAUAUUUCCUUGUCCUCAUCUUCCAUUUUAUCUAAGGAGAUACCAUACACCAUGGCUAUUUAUAAGCCCUUUCCAUUUUUAGUCUGAGGAUUUCAGAUUUUCUUUUCUUUUUAUUUAGGGCUGCUGAUUCUUUAAAAGGAAAAAAGGGGGUUGUUUUUAAAUUUUUAUAUCAAAUAUCACCCUACUGUUGUAGGUUUGUAUUUUCCUCUUUACCUUUCCUAAAUGCUACCCUUUUUCUGGUCAAGGGAUCAGAAAUAAAAUCUUACAAAAUUCUUUUGUUCGUCUAAGAUGUGCUCUUAUCUUGACACAUUUUGUUCUGUGGCUCCCUUUUCCCCUCCACUCCACAACAUUGACAUGUAUGAGUCACUGCAAACUUUUCAGUCCCAAAGCCUGAAAUGUGUAUUUCCAGCACCUUCUGACAUCCCACCACAUUUCAGACAUAAUUAUUAUUCCAAAUAAUAAUCUGCUGGCUGCCACCCAAUCCUUCUAUUUUUGUUUUCAUGCUUCUCCCUUUGAUAUAACAGGCUUUGCAAGUUUAAGUUUUCGGCAAAGCACUUGCCUUUAUUUAAUGCCUUAUUGUAACCUAGUAAGUUUCCAUGAUUUCUCUCUGUUGUCACAGUAUAUACCUUCAAAUGUUUGGCUGUAGCUUUCAUCUUGUCAUUUUCUGGCUAAGGGUCAUCUACCAUUUGCCUACCUGGCAGACUUAGAAAAUGUCUUUCUUUAUUCUGACUAGUCCUUAGUAUCUAUCACAUUUUUUUCCAAGUCCUACUUUUAGUAAUUCCAUCCAGCCUUUCUUGUUUCCUAUGUCAGCAAUAUGGUUCCACUUUAUAAUUUGUUUUGGGGUUUUUUUCUAUUUUUAAUCAUCAUCUUGAACUCUAUGACAUAAAGGAAUUAGGAGCUGUACCUGCAGUUCCAUUGCUUUUGUUAGAAUUAGUAUCACAAAUGCUGACAUUAUUCCUAAAGUACUGUGUUUUUACCUGGUAGGCUUCAUGUGGUUUGUAUGUAAAUCAUAAACUGCAUUUUCCUUUUACUGCAACAAGCAGAGGUACUUUGUAGUGUUACUUGCAGUAGCUGUUGCUGUAGAGUAAGCCCUGUGUUAGAGGGAAAAGCACAAAAACUUGUCAGAGCUGUAGCUACUGCUUCUCUCCACAGGGGAAAUAAGGCCCUAGCACAGUUGAACAGUUUUAUAAAUGCCCUGCACAAAACACAUUGCACAUUAUUUUCUGGUAGGUAUAAUCAUACAUUGUCCAAUUAAAUAUGAAAAAUACAUUUUUAAUGUUCUCAUUUUUACAUGCAAUUCUAUCCAGAAGAUAAUGCAUUUCCUUCUGUAUCUUGCCAGUUUCUCCCAUUACUGCAGCCUGCCUAAUAGCCCCAUCUGUUUUCAGCUGAGAAAGAUUAAUGACCAGCAGCACUGGGAGUCCUGGCAAAUCAGCAGAGAUAUUACUCUUAGGCAUUGAGCAGGACAUUCUUUGCUAUUCUGCCAGAUACUGUAUGGGUGUUCCUCAGGUUUCAGCACAGCAACAGCAGAACACAGCAAGCUCAGCAAGUGGAGUGUGCAUCAUUAUUUAUGAACUUCAGCAAGCCCUAAUACAUUAGAUGGUGGGAGUGCUAAAAAGAGAAUGUAUCAUUGUGAGCUCAAAAAGUAUUUCAACUUUAGGAAAAGAAAGCAGCUAAGUUUCUGCAACUCAGUAAGUAAGACCAGAACAAAUAAGUCACUAGUAGAUGGUGACAGCCUAGUAUUUCCACGGUGGUAUUGAAAAUGCAGAAGCUAAAUGAAGUCACUUUUACAGUAGGAAUUCAUAAUGUGUGUUUAGAUGGUGUGUUUACCUCCAAACACUUAGGUGAACUGGGGAUUGUUUGAAGAUGUUACUUUGGUUCACAAUAUAAAGUUGUUUGGAAAAGCUUCUGGCUGUGCACAGCAAAUUACAGCUCAGAAAAUGCUUACAAACCUGAAUUUAGAAAUACCCUGCUUUUCUAGGAAUUUGUUUUCAUGAGUAGUUAAACAUCCCCAAAAUAAGACACAAAGGCUGUGAGAAUUUCAAAGGGUGCUAUGUAUGUGUCAGUUGUCUGGAACAUUUUCCUACUACGACUACUUGGUAUCUGGGCAUUGUUUGCUCUGCAGAGUAGAAUUGUUAUGAUCGGUUUUAAAAAUAAGCUGGGAAUUAGAAAGCCAGCCAAAUAUUUAUUUCUGUGAUGGAUCAUAUGAAUGUAUUUGUCCAGACAUGUUAAUGGGUACAGCAAUGGAGUUAUCUCAUUGAAGGUGUCAGGAUGCAAAAGAUCUGAAACCCAGGCUAAGAGCUUAGUAUCUUUUCAGUCAUUCUGUGCUAGAAUUUCCCCUUAUAGUGUGAGAACAGCUUUUUGUCUCCCAGCUAAUUGCUAUUUCUGUAGGGUUAAAAUGUCCUAAACCUCUGCAACAUGGGUUCAUAGGAAGUCACUGUGCAGGUGACAGAGGCUGCAUUUGAGCUCCAUGGUCCAUUGCCAUGACAUAAAAGAUUUCAGUCCUAAAGAAAUAGUUCUGACCUGGGAGUAAUUCUCUGAUCAGGUGUGUAGAGAGGUUCCCAAACACGUGAGGCCAAAUAAUUCAAGCCAAGCUAAGCCUAUUCCUCAGUAUUAUGGCAACACAGUUCUUGGACAAUAGAUGUGUGACUUUUCAAUGUUAACUGUUAUACCACAAGACUCCGCUAAGGGUGCAUAAGCAGCCGUGUGAAAGUUAGAGGAGCUGAAAUUCAAGUUGCAGGUGGAGCUGAUGAUUUGCUCAUAGAACUUCUUUCUGCCCCCUGGCACAUAUGUAAUAGGACAUAGUUUCUACGCAAUCAUUUGCUGGGUGUUUUUUAAGGACUCCUCUCAUUCUAUGCACAGAGUGGAUGGGAUGAUUCUCAGGGAAGGAAGCAGCUGGGUGAUACAGUUUACUUUUGCUCUCAUUGAACUUUUCAUAAUAUGAUGGUAGGCUUGAUUCUGAGCAAAGCCAGACUUUUUUUUCCUUUUUUUUUUUUUUCUAAAGGAUAGAUUUAAACUGUGGUUUAGGAAA